GGAGACGGUAGAGUGAGCUGUGGUGUGGACGGUAAACUUGGAGUCAUAGAGCUGGUCUAAUGAGGACGAAAGAAAGAGAAAAGAAAGGAGAAGUGAACUGAACCCCUGAAUUGGACAGGUUUUUUCCCAGUGAUUGGAAACCCAGAUGGCGAGUGAGGAAAAAGAAGAACUUGGAUCUGCUGACCUGAACUUGUGGAACAGGGUCAGUUCUUUCGCAGUCAUGUGGGCAUGUAGAGGAAAUUGUGUAUUGUUAUAAUUACAGAAAAUCUGUUCAUUUUAUUUUCAUUUCUUUUGGUUAAUACCUGAUAUUAUGGGUCUCCGAGUCAGUAUGUGAAACUUUUAAUUUGAGUCUGUUCCCCAACAAGCAA